GGAGUGUCCACCCUGGACAACAUGACCAUGUUGUCACCCUGCACAAUAUCUGCAUAAAGGCCCAGACUCCUUUAUUGCCAUAUGAAACUAUAAUUUUGACUGCGAGAAUGCUGCCAACAUUUCAGGCAUUCUGUAGAAUCUGCCCACUAUUUACUGGAAUGAACCAGAGCCAACUUAACCCGAUAAUUAAUUGUUUAUCAACAGACUGGAGCUUGAUAAAUACAGAGGGACAAGAGGCAGGAGAAUUCUGGACAGAAGACAACAGAUGCCCAGCGAGGGCCCCACCCUCAAGACUGGAACCACGGCCCAAAGUGGAACAAACAUUCCUGUUUUCCCUCUUGAAUGUUGCCUUAUCCAAAACCACCCACGGCCUGCCCUGCCCCCCAUCCUGUGCCCGUAAAAACCCCAGG